UUGAACUAUACCAUCUCUGUCUCCAUCUCUUUUUCUUUCCUCUUGCCCUCUCUCCUUAACUCACGGCUCAUUUCAAUUUCUUGCCCUAAUCGACCGUUCUCCUCCUCUGCUAAUCUCAAAGUCUCUUUACUCGAAUCCUCGAUCUGCAAUUUGAGCAACAUGAUAACAGAAACAGAUUUCCUGAGUAGGUUGCACUGGCGCCUGUGUGAAGUAAAUGUCGAAAGAAGACAGUGGCCUGUGUUGGAAACGAGUUGAAUCAAUGGCAGAAACUGACUCAAUCUCUGUAACUCGAUUCACGAUGGUGUCUAGCAGAUUCUUUAAUGGAAGAAACUGAAUGAAAUCGUCAUCUCCGCUUUUCAUCAAUGGCGGAAAGAGUAGUUGAGAACAUGACCACUUUUUUCUAGCUACACAAGCUCCUUGACGGGACAUGGUUGAAAUAAUGCUGGGAAAUUCAACAAUAACAUGAAAAUUAGUUAGAAUCUUGUGAUGCAUGAGUAGUUUCUUGGAGUUAUGAUUCACCAUGUAAUCUGCUAUUGUUCAUCAUCAUAGCAUGUCAGCAACCUGUGUUUGAAGUUGGUGGAACCUGUUAUUUGUAUUCUUUGAUUUAACUCUACUUAUUUUACA